rnacentral:rRNA from 1 species
ACGUAGGUCACAAGCGUUGUCCGGAAUUACUGGGUGUAAAGGGAGCGCAGGCGGGAGAACAAGUUGGAAGUGAAAUCCAUGGGCUCAACCCAUGAACUGCUUUCAAAACUGUUUUUCUUGAGUAGUGCAGAGGUAGACGGAAUUCCCGGUGUAGCGGUGGAAUGCGUAGAUAUCGGGAGGAACACCAGUGGCGAAGGCGGCCUACUGGGCACCAACUGACGCUGAGGCUCGAAAGUGUGGGUAGCAAACAG